CCUCGGGUGGCUGCAGUGGGGAAUAUUGGACAAUGGGCGAAAGCCUGAUCCAGCCAUGCCGCGUGUGUGAAGAAGGCCUUCGGGUUGUAAAGCACUUUCAGUGGGGAAGAAAGCCUUGGGGCUAAUACCCUCGAGGAAGGACAUCACCCACAGAAGAAGCACCGGCUAACUCCGUGCCAGCAGCCGCGGUAAUACGGAGGGUGCGAGCGUUAAUCGGAAUUACUGGGCGUAAAGCGCGCGUAGGCGGUCUGAUAAGCCGGUUGUGAAAGCCCCGGGCUCAACCUGGGAACGGCAUCCGGAACUGUCAGGCUAGAGUGCAGGAGAGGAAGGUAGAAUUCCCGGUGUAGCGGUGAAAUGCGUAGAGAUCGGGAGGAAUACCAGUGGCGAAGGCGGCCUUCUGGACUGACACUGACGCUGAGGUGCGAAAGCGUGGGUAGCAAACAGGAUUAGAUACCCUAGUAGUC
rnacentral:rRNA from 1 species